rnacentral:rRNA from 1 species
GAUGAACGCUGGCGGCGUGCCUAAUACAUGCAAGUCGAGCGAACGGACGAGAAGCUUGCUUCUCUGAUGUUAGCGGCGGACGGGUGAGUAACACGUGGAUAACCUACCUAUAAGACUGGGAUAACUUCGGGAAACCGGAGCUAAUACCGGAUAAUAUUUUGAACCGCAUGGUUCAAAAGUGAAAGACGGUCUUGCUGUCACUUAUAGAUGGAUCCGCGCUGCAUUAGCUAGUUGGUAAGGUAACGGCUUACCAAGGCAACGAUGCAUAGCCGACCUGAGAGGGUGAUCGGCCACACUGGAACUGAGACACGGUCCAGACUCCUAAGGGAGGCAGCAGUAGGGAAUCUUCCGCAAUGGUCGAAAGCCUGACGGAGCAACGCCGCGUGAGUGAUGAAGGUCUUCGGAUCGUAAAACUCUGUUAUUAGGGAAGAACAUCUGUGUAAGUAACUGUGCACAUCUUGACGGUACCUAAGCAGAAAGCCACGGCUAACUACGUG